rnacentral:rRNA from 1 species
AGAGUUUGAUCCUGGCUCAGGAUGAACGCUGGCGGUAUGCUUUACACAUGCAAGUCAUACGGGAGUUAGUUUCGGCUAACUUCAGUGGCGGACGGGUGAGUAACACGUGAGAAUUCGCCUUUAGGAGGGGGAUAACAGGGGGAAACACCUGCUAAAACCCCAUAUGCCUUCGGGUCAAAAGAGUAAUCUGCCUAAAGAGAAGCUCGCGGCUGAUUAGCUAGUUGGUGGGGUAAAGGCCUACCAAGGCGACGAUCAGUAGCUGGUCUGAGAGGACGAUCAGCCACACUGGAACUGAAACACGGUCCAGACUCCUACCGGAGGCAGCAGUGAGGAAUUUUCUGCAAUGGGCGAAAGCCUGACAGAGCAAUACCGCGUGAGGGAAGAAGGCUUACUGAGUUGUAAACCUCUGUUACCUAAAGAGGAAGAUCUGACGUUACUUAGGAGACGAAACAUCGGCUAACUCCGUGCCAGCAGCCGCGGUAAGACGGAGGAUGCAAGUGUUAUCCCGAAUUACUGGGCGUAAAGCGUCUGCACGUGGUUUUUUAAGUCCACUGUUAAACCUUGAGGCUUAACCUCAAUUCAGCAUUGGAAACUGGGAAACCUUGAGUUUAGUGGGGUAGGAGGGAUUUUCCAGGGGAGCGUUGAAUGUGCGUAAAUAUGGAAAGGACCACGGAGGGGGGAAGCCACUUCUGGGGGGUUAUUACGGACAUUCAAGAGACGAAAGUUAGGGGGAGCAAUGGGGAUUGGAUCCCCCAGUAGUCCUAGCGGUAAACGAUGGAUACUCGAUGUGGGGGUAUCGACCCGUCCAGUGUCUUAGCUAACGCGUAAAGUAUCCCGCGUGGGGAGUACGCUCGCAAGAGUGAAACUCAAAGGAUUUGACGGGGGCCCGCACAAGCGGUGGAGGAUGUGGUUUAUUUCGAUGCAACGCGAAGACCCUUACCAGGAUUUGCUAUAAGUGAGGUUUCUUGAAAAGGGAACUUCUAUCUGUUUAUACAGGUGGGCCAGGGCUGUCGUCAGCUCGUGUCGUGAGAUGUUGGGUUAAGUCCCGCAACGAGCGCAACCCUUGUUUCUAGUUCAUUUGUCUAGAAAGACUGCCGGUGACAAACCGGAGGAAGGUGAGGACGACGUCAAGUCAUCAUGCCCCUUACAUCCUGGGCUACACACGUCCUACAAUGGGUGAGACAAUAAGUUGCCAACCUGCGAAGGUGAGCUAAUCUUUGAAACUUACUCUAAGUUCGGAUUGCAGGCUGCAACUCGCCUGCAUGAAGGUGGAAUCGCUAGUAAUCGCUGGUCAGCUACACAGCGGUGAAUUCGUUCCCGGGCCUUGUACACACCGCCCGUC